AGGGCACCACCAGGAGUGGAGCCUGCGGCUUAAUUUGACUCAACACGGGGAAACUCACCCGGCCCGGACACCGUAAGGAUUGACAGACUGAUAGCUUUUUCAUGAUUCGGUGGAUGGUGGUGCAUGGCCGUUCUUAGUUCGUGGAGCGAUUUGUCUGGUUUAUUCCGAUAACGAGCGAGACUCUAGCCUACUAAAUAGUUCGCACAUUGUCUCUGUGUGUGUGACUUCUUAGAGGGAUUUUCGGUGUUCAGCCGCACGAAAUUGAGCAAUAACAGGUCUGUGAUGCCCUUAGAUGUCCGGGGCUGCACGCGCGCUACACUGGCAAAAUCAGCGUGCUUGUCCUUCCCCGAAAGGGGUUGGUAAACCCUUGAAAAUUUGCCGUGAUUGGGAUUGGAAAUUGCAAUUAUUUUCCAUGAACGAGGAAUUCCAAGUAAGUGCGAGUCAUCAGCUCGCGUUGAUUACGUCCCUGCCCUUUGUACACACCGCCCGUCGCUGCCCGGGACUGAGCCAUUUCGAGAA
rnacentral:rRNA from 1 species